ensembl:lncRNA
CACACACACACACACACAACUUCCCCUAUCCCCCAUGAUUUAUCAUGAGUGUACAGUAGUUCACCACAGAGUAGUAUCAUAGCAGCUGUGUAUUUUACAUGAUGAUUUCUACCCUGGGUAAUGACUGCAGUGAUACCAACAGAAGUGUGCCAUUAUGCCCCCUGGUGUUCAAACACUAAUUUGCAGAUGUUGACAAGUGCUGUCUUAUUUCCUCAGCUCCUGGUCCAUCACCAGGUAUUGUCUUGGCAACUGUAGGAACUGGUGCACAGGUAAGGUGUUCAUUCAGCCAGGGUAGCCAAUGUGACAGUACAUUUAAAUAAAAUAGUUUAUUAUUAUUUUUUUUUUUCUGAAAUAUCUUUAUAUCUUUCCCAUCACUUCUUUCUUCACUACUGUGGACUGUGUUUCCUGGCAAUGGAUGUAUAAAUCACUUCCUCAGUUAUACCCUCUCAGGAUGUUUCAGAUGACAUAUUUACUAGUAUCACUAAAUUCCUCACCUGUCAUGGCAGCUGUGUACAAGGGACUAAACAGCAGCUUGAUGCUCAUAUGUGCAGAUACAAUCUGUGCUGUACCUGUAGUGCAACUCACUCAAGUCCUUUAAUAUCAUUUAUUUGAUUGUUUGUGUGUGUUUGUGUUUUCUUUGUUUGUUUGCGUGUUUGUUUAUUUUUAGGCAGCAUCCGAUUAUGGAAAUUGUCCAGGAGAAGGGUUUGGUGAUGUAACUCAGACAAGCAUCCAGACAGGCCCAGUCUACCAAUCCCUGAACCCCAACACCAUCCAACAAGAACCAGUCUACCAAUCCCUGAACCCGAACACCAUCCAUCAAGACCCAGUCUACCAAUCCCUGAACCCCAACACCAUCCUACAAGACCCAGUCUACCAAUCAUUGAACCCCAAUACCAUCCAACAAGACCCAGUCUAUCAAACCCUGAACCCCAAUAUCGUUCAACAAGACUCACAAUAAGGAAGAAAGGACAGAGUUUGGUUCAGGUGGUGUUUGGAAAGCACUGAGCAAGGCUCCAUUGACAGAGAGGCUCAGAUUAAAAUCACACAAAACUAGGGACAGAACAGGUCUACUCAUGUCAUGUGCC